CAACCUCCCCCUCUUUAAGGACAGCCCUGGGGAAGCUGAUGUGUCCCUGACAGGAGAGCACCCCUGGAGACUCAAUGUGAGCGAGGAGGGGUGGCUAGGAGGCCAGAGCUGGUGUGGAAGCAUGCAAAUGGCUCCAACUCCUCUGGAUCAUGGUCCGUUCAUAGAGAGGACAGCCCACAAGUCCCCAGUGAAACAAGACUGAACAGCUGUGGGGUUUUUUUUAUUUAAAUGCUACAGUGGAAAUGCACGUCCUGAGUCUAAAUCCUUUUACAAUUCUGAGAAAUGGAUCCUGGAUUACAACUGAGCUGCUCCUGAAAAAAGAGAUGUUCCGUUGCAUGAGUCAACAGUGAGGCUAUGCCACACUCCAAGAGAACAGAGAUUACCGAGGGAGACAGCAUAAAUGAUCCUAUAAAGUUGGAGAGCUAUGAGAAUUACAGCAAUAAAAAUAACUGUUCUUCCUACAAUGCAGCAUGCUUAUCUGCAAGGAAGGAGACAAAUGAGAGAAAAGCAGGUUUCAUUUCCCUUUCCCCUACUAAUACAAACCCAGAAGAGUCAAAAACUAUUUUUUUUAAAUGUCCAAAUUUCCCCCUUUUUUGGUGCCCUUACUGAGACCUUUUUGCACGAUGUGGAUAUUUGACUCUUUCCUACAGUAGACCUUCUGCCAAGUGUCUAAUCUAGGGGCAGAUACCCAGGGCAGCAGCCAAGUUCUUCUGGCACAGAAACUAUGUAGGUUACAAACCAGCAUUUACAAUCUACUUUCACUGACUCAAUAGUGCAUCCUCCUUAGCCCCCAGCAAAGAGGUAAUGGUGAUUUAAGCCAAAUAUUCUUCUUAUAUUUCAGCAUCAAUGCCAAGGGGCGGUGAGUUGACUUUAUGCUAGGGCUGGUCCAUUAUCAAAACUGUUUUCCAAAUCUUCAAUUGCACUGACUGGAGAAUGGUAUAGCUAUGGGGGUAGGGGGGGCACAGACAGUUGUGAUUGAUAGUGCAAACCAUAAACAAACAGGGCGGGUGGGACUCCGAUCCUGGGGGCUGGAUAGUGGAUUGAUUUUUUUUUUUUUAAGAGCCGGGGGCUGUGAGUAGGGGAGGCUACUUUGGUUACCCGCUGUACGCUGGAAGAUGGCAAACGCGCAAGCCCCAACGACAAGACUCUCAAGGGACGAGCUGGCAGCUGCAAGGCCUGUGCUCACAUUGGAGCGGACCCACCCCUAGCCCAGCUGCCUUGCUGCAGGGAGGCGGGAACCCCAUCCUGCUAUUUCUCCGCCUCCCCAUCCCCAUCUCCAGGGAUCAGCACAGCAGCGGCGAGAUAUAAGGAACCGCCCCUCCCCUCCGAAUUUAGAACUCCCCGGGCCGAGUUCUAGAACCCACUGGGUUUUACACCGCGCCGCCGCCUCUCUGCUGGUACUGCAGGGCAGCGCCAUUUGUGUCCGACCGCAGCCACCGAGGUAAUGAAUGGACCCGUCACCCGGCCUCUCUCUCCCAUCCCCCGCACUCCCAAGCGAUCGGCUCCCAGAACAGCAACCCUCCGCGGCACGGUGCCUCCAACACCCCCAUGCACCGACCGGGGCGGGCACAGCUGCGAAAGCGUCGCCCGAGAAAACGAGGGCCAGACACUCCGCACGGCGUGCGCGACGCGCAGUCCCUGCCGCAACAAGAUGCUAUUUAGCAUUUCCCCAGGCCACAGAGAAGGCGCGGGGUGGAGGGAGAGGGGAAUUCGACGAUUUAUUUUUAAGCCGACAAAAAGUAGUUAAAGGUCGACCGCGAUCGGUCUGCCUCACUGACCGGGGGGAGAUGCAGCUACAUGCAUUUAGUGCCCGCAAUCCAUGCCGUGCUCAGAGGCAGAGAUCCGCAUUUCGAGGUGCAAGUCUAAUGCAAUGGCAGUCGGAGACGUUUUUCCUUUCUCCGUAGCCAACAAAAACGUAGCUCGAACGAGCAGAGCCCAUCCCGAACCCAGGCAGAAUGGGCGGGGUAGGCGUGGCAGGACGAAGAAGAAGAGACAGCGAGAAAUUAGAGAAACUGGGCAGUUCAGAGGCAGGAUUGGGGGGAUAAUUUCGCCCCUCUCUUACCUGGCUGAGCCCGCGUUAAGGAAAAGCGUGCAAAAGCUGUUUCGCCCUUUCUUUUCAAUGCACCGAACGAAGCUGGGCUUUUCCCAGCGAGCCACCCGGACCGACUGAUCCUCCUUCCGCAGCCGUCCGGGAGAAAUUCUCGAAAUGUUUUGCGGCAAUUGCCUAAGUAAAGGAGGAAACCUGACUCCCCGUCACGCUGGCAGCUCCCUUACCCAAUAGUUCCACAGAUGGGGCUGGGCAUGCUCCCGCCCCUCUCUGCAAGGGCCAAUGGCACCUGCGAAACCGAACGAGCCUCCUUCGGCUCCCUUCCCUCUCCCUGUGCCUGGGCCCCAUUCUGCUCUCGCUGACCGCAGUGAGAUUCCUUCCUGUUCCUGCCACAUUUCAAUGGAGUUACUCCUGAUUUACACCCGGGGGGGAGGGGAGGAGAAUCAGGCCAAGUCCCUAAACUGCAUGGCAAUGAAGUGAGUGACAGUAAUGGAGAGCAGAUUUUCUCCCCACCCCCUGUUGGUCCCAAUGGGAGUGGGAAGGGUUAGGUGUAAGGUUGUGGGAUGUGCCUGGAUCUUUAUGAAACUGGAGAGGAGACCAGUGGAAGAUUAAAUUCUCCUUUGCUUAGUGGCUAAAAGUCAGAGAUCUGGCUGGGCAAACUGCAUCCAGCAUACUCUGAGCUGCAGAGAGCCUAAGAAGAGUGCAAAUAGCAGUUCAGGAUGUAGACAGGAAAUAUUUUGCAUCUCAGUUAUUUAUUGUUGUGGAGAAUAAAUCAUUCACUCUGUUUGCAAAAUCAAA